AGAUUGAACGCUGGCGGCAUGCCUUACACAUGCAAGUCGAACGGCAGCACGGGAGCAAUCCUGGUGGCGAGUGGCGAACGGGUGAGUAAUACAUCGGAACGUGCCCAGUAGUGGGGGAUAACCCGGCGAAAGCCGGACUAAUACCGCAUACGACCUACGGGUGAAAGCAGGGGAUCGCAAGACCUUGCACUAUUGGAGCGGCCGAUGUCAGAUUAGCUUGUUGGUGGGGUAACGGCCUACCAAGGCGACGACGGGUA
rnacentral:rRNA from 1 species